AUUGAACGCUGGCGGCAGGCCCAACACAUGCAAGUCGAACGGUAACAGGAAGCAGCUUGCUGCUUUGCUGACGAGUGGCGGACGGGUGAGUAAUGUCCGGGAAACUGCCUGAUGGAGGGGGAUAACUACUGGAAACGGUAGCUAAUACCGCAUAACGUCGCAAGACCAAAGAGGGGGACCUUCGGGCCUCUUGCCAUCGGAUGUGCCCAGAUGGGAUUAGCUAGUAGGUGGGGUAACGGCUCACCUAGGCGACGAUCCCUAGCUGGUCUGAGAGGAUGACCAGCCACACUGGAACUGAGACACGGUCCAGACUCCUACGGGAGGCAGCAGUGGUGAAUAUUGCACAAUGGGCGCAAGCCUGAUGCAGCCAUGCCGCGUGUAUGAAGAAGGCCUUCGGGUUGUAAAGUACUUUCAGCGGGGAGGAAGGGAGUAAAGUUAAUACCUUUGCUCAUUGACGUUACCCGCAGAAGAAGCACCGGCUAACUCCGUG
rnacentral:rRNA from 1 species